GACGAACACUGGCGGCGUGCUUAACACAUGCAAGUCGAACGGAAAGGCCUGCAGCUUGCUGCGGGUACUCGAGUGGCGAACGGGUGAGUAACACGUGGGUGAUCUGCCUUGCACUUCGGGAUAAGCUUGGGAAACUGGGUUUAAUACCGGAUAGGACAGCUGUUUAGUGUCAGUUGUGGAAAGUUUUUUCGGUGCAAGAUGAGCUCGCGGCCUAUCAGCUUGUUGGUGGGGUAAUGGCCUACCAAGGCGUCGACGGGUAGCCGGCCUGAGAGGGUGUACGGCCACAUUGGGACUGAGAUACGGCCCAGACUCCUACGGGAGGCAGCAGUGGGGAAUAUUGCACAAUGGGCGGAAGCCUGAUGCAGCGACGCCGCGUGGGGGAUGAAGGCCUUCGGGUUGUAAACUCCUUUCGACAGGGACGAAGCUUUUGUGACGGUACCUGUAUAAGAAGCACCGGCUAACUACGUG
rnacentral:rRNA from 1 species